rnacentral:rRNA from 1 species
GACGAACGCUGGCGGCGUGCUUAACACAUGCAAGUCGAACGGUGAUGCUCCAGCUUGCUGGAGUGGAUCAGUGGCGAACGGGUGAGUAACACGUGAGCAACCUGCCCCAGACUCUGGAAUAAGCGCUGGAAACGGCGUCUAAUACUGGAUACGAAACUGGCCGCAUGGGCAUGGUUUGGAAAGUUUUUCGGUUUGGGAUGGGCUCGCGGCCUAUCAGCUUGUUGGUGAGGUAAUGGCUCACCAAGGCGACGACGGGUAGCCGGCCUGAGAGGGCGACCGGCCACACUGGGACUGAGACACGGCCCAGACUCCUACGGGAGGCAGCAGUGGGGAAUAUUGCACAAUGGGCGAAAGCCUGAUGCAGCGACGCCGCGUGAGGGAUGACGGCCUUCGGGUUGUAAACCUCUUUCAGCAGGGAAGAAGCGAAAGUGACGGUACCUGCAGAAGAAGCACCGGCUAACUACGU